UACGGGGGGAGCAAGCGUUGUUCGGAUUUACUGGGCGUAAAGGGCGCGUAGGCGGCCAGCGCAAGUCAGUUGUGAAAUCUCCGGGCUUAACUCGGAAAGGUCAACUGAUACUACGCGGCUAGAGUGCAGAAGGGGCAACUGGAAUUCUCGGUGUAGCGGUGAAAUGCGUAGAUAUCGAGAGGAACACCUGCGGCGAAGGCGGGUUGCUGGGCUGACACUGACGCUGAGGCGCGAAAGCCAGGGGAGCGAACGGG
rnacentral:rRNA from 1 species